rnacentral:ribozyme from 1 species
UUUUUUUUUUUUUUUUUUUUUUUUUUUUUUUUUGUCCAAUUCUAUGUA